rnacentral:rRNA from 1 species
CAGCCCCGUACACAAAAGCGCAUGUGCUGUGAGCUCGAUGAGUAGGGCGGGACACGUGGUAUCCUGUCUGAAUAUGGGGGGACCAUCCUCCAAGGCUAAAUACUCCUGACUGACCGAUAGUGAACCAGUACCGUGAGGGAAAGGCGAAAAGAACCCCGGCGAGGGGAGUGAAAAAGAACCUGAAACCGUGUACGUACAAGCAGUGGGAGCACAGGUUUACCUGUGUGACUGCGUACCUUUUGUAUAAUGGGUCAGCGACUUAUAUUCUGUAGCAAGGUUAACCGAAUAGGGGAGCCGGAGGGAAACCGAGUCUUAAUUGGGCGUUAAGUUGCAGGGUA